AGUCGAACGAAGUAGCAAUACUUAGUGGCGAACGGGUGAGUAUAAUGUGGGUAUCUGCCUUUUGGUUUGGAAUAACACGAGGAAACUUGUGCUAAUACCGGAUAAGCCUUUACAGGGAAAGUUUUAACGCCAAAAGAUGAGCCCGCACUUGAUUAGCUAGUUGGUAAGGUAAAAGCUUACCAAGGCUACGAUCAAUAGCUGAUCUGAGAGGAUGAUCAGCCACAUUGGGACUGAGACACGGCCCAAACUUCUACGGGAGGCAGCAGUAGGGAAUAUUGCACAAUGGAGGAAACUCUGAUGCAGCGAUGCCGCGUGAGUGAAGAAGGCCUUUGGGUUGUAAAGCUCUUUCGUCGGGGAAGAAAAUGACUGUACCCGAAUAAGAAGGUCCGGCUAACUUCGUGCCAGCAGCCGCGGUAAUACGAAGGGACCUAGCGUAGUUCGGAAUUACUGGGCUUAAAGAGUUCGUAGGUUGUUAAAAAAGUUGGUGGUGAAAUCCCAGAGCUUAACUCUGGAACUGCCAUCAAAACUUUUUAGCUAGAGUUUGAUAGAGGAAAGCAGAAUUUCUAGUGUAGAGGUGAAAUUCGUAGAUAUUAGAAAGAAUACCAAUUGCGAAGGCAGCUUUCUGGAUCAUUACUGACACUGAGGAACGA
rnacentral:rRNA from 1 species